rnacentral:lncRNA from 1 species
UUGUGUUUGGCAAUGUAAUAGUAACUUGGCUCCUGAGGUAUCAAGGUAAGGACAAAAAUAUUUCCCAUUUUUUUAUUUCUAUGGUUGUAAUAGUCUAUUUUAAGCCCAUAUUAUUUUUGGUGAUUGCAAAAUGUAUUCAAUUGCAUGUAGAAAUACAAGAUAAAUCUAGUUUCAAACUUUGAGUGUAUACUGAAGUUACAUGAAGCCUUCGGUACUCCUUUUUAGUUAUUGCUGAUUUAGUUUAAGUACUAAAUCAAUGACAACUAAUAUCGAACGGAGGGAGUAUAUUAUGACCUCCUCUUAACUUGCCUUUAGUAACAAACAUGAUAGCACCAAAAUUAGUUCUAGGAGGAUAGUACUAAAACUCUCGUGCCAUUGAAAAACUGUUGAGAAAUUUUAAUUUAUUGCAUAGUGCAGGAGGAAAAAGUUUAAUUCACCCCGAGAAGAGCCCUCCGAGAACAAUUGUUUUGGACUUUUGUGGUACUCUCAAGUGAGGGGUCUUUUGUGGUCUUGCUAGCAUAACCAUAUUUUGUAUGAUUCUCAAAAUCCUUGGAGCGAAAGAGAAUAACUGCAUAAUGAAGUUUAAAUCAUAUUCAUUUGUUUGUUUCAGCAACAGUGGGGUUGUUCUGCUCAAUCAUGCUAUUUUUUAGUCCAUUAAUUUGUAUGUGUUCUUCGCCUCAGAGAUUUUAUUAAUUCCGGUUGGGUUCUAAUUAGAGAUGCAUAUAAAUAAAUUUGUUCUGGUUUUUAUAAAAGUAAUUUGGCACACACCUAGAAGGUUAUUGAUUAUACAAUGCAAACCAUUUUAUUAAGUUGGGUUUUCUUGACACCAUUUUCUAUUGCAGGCUACUGAAUAUAUACAGUUCUUGCAAGAGAAGGAACAUAAGUUUAUUUGGGUGAGGCACCAGAUACAACAUCUCACUUUUUGUUUUGGAAAUUAUCUUUAUUUAACUCUAAGAGGUCACUAGCUGAAGGUAUGGUCCAUUCUAAUCUUUUUGUUUGUCACGAAGCUUGACAACAUCUCACUAACUAUAGCAGUAAUGUGAUUCAUUCUUUAGGUUGUGUUUGGCAAUGGAAUAGUAAAUUGGCUGCUGAGGUAUCAAGGUAAGGACAAAAAUAUUUCCCAUUUUUUUAUUUCUAUUGUUGUCAUAGUCUAUUUUAAGCCCGUGUUAUUUUUGGUGAUUGCGAAAUGUAUUCAAUUGCAUGUAGAAGUAGAAGAUAAAUCUUCUUUCAAACUUUGAGUGUAUACUGAAGUUACAUGAAGCCUUCGCCACUCCUUUUUAGUUAUUGUUGAUUUAGUUCAAGUACUAAAACAACGACAACUAAUAUCGAACAAAGGGAGUAUAUUAUGACCUACUCUUAACUUGCCUUUAGUAACAAACAUGAUAGUACCAAAAUUAGUUCUAGGAGGAUAGUACUAAAACUCUCGUGCCAUUGAAAAACUGUUGAGAAAUUUUAAUUUAUUGCAUAGUGCAGGCGGAAAAAGUUUAAUUCACCCCGAGAAGAGCCCUCCGAGAACAGUUGUUUUGGACUUUUGUGGUACUCUCAAGUGAGGGGUCUUUUGUGGUCUUGCUAAUAUAGAUAAACCAUAACCAUAUUUUAUAUGAUUCUCAACAUCCUUGGAGUGAAAGACAGUAACUGCAUAAUGAAGUUUAAAUCAUAUUUAUUUGUUUGUUUCAGUGAUGAGUUUUUCUUUUGUUUGCUUCUUUGACCAGUUUGUAACCAGUCUUCUGGAUCAGAGUAACUGAAAAUUGAUGUGUAAUAUUAGGGCUGCGAUUAAAGUGUAUCAAAUGGGCUAAUUUUUAUAUUUGAAUCAUCAUAUAUAAAAUUUGUAUUUUUUUAAAUCAUGAACAAAUAUAGUUUAAGUAUUUGGAAGUGAGACGUGCUUUUUCAGUUGUUUGCCACAUGGUUUGUUUCAGGAUGGGAUAACGAAUUGGUAAAAAUCACUUUCCUUUGUUGGUACCAAUACCAAUGCCACCAAGUGCAGUCAUAUUGACGACAGUCAAAUAGCCUUGCAGAAUGGACAAUGUUCAAAGUUAGCAAGCAUUAUGUCGUGUCUAGAUAUGAGGGGAAAACGUGCUACGUGUGUACUGCUACGACACCAGCCCAAGUACUUAUGUACAAUUCCUCCUGAAUUCAGACACUAAGAAGAUAAGCUUUUGCAAAUGAAUCUACUUAUCCAAGAGGCUGGCAACAAGAUCGGAUGUUCAAUAACUAGAGGAGCAACACUCGAUCGACAGGAAACUAUGAGCAUGCAUAUCAUCAAGUUUGCCGGUUCUACAUUUUAAACCUUAGCCAACUACCUACUUUCUAAUUUUCUUGCAUGCAGCGAAUUGACUUCCCAAAGAACUACAUGGAAGGGAUAUAUGUUUGAU